GCCAGGUGUGGUGGCACAUGCCUGUAAUCCCAGCGGUCUGGGAGGCCGAGACAGGAGGAUCUUGAGUUCAAAGCCAGCCUCAGUAUCAGUUAAGUGCUAAGCAACUCAGUGAGACCCUGUCUUUA
rnacentral:sRNA from 1 species